ensembl:lncRNA
CCCGUGUACGCGACCCGGUUCGCCCGGCGCGUUCCCGCAGUGCAUCUCGACGCCGACGGGUCGGUGUCUCUCCGUCAAAUAAACACACGGCAGACUCGUUCGAUUGCAAAUCUUUCUUUAAUCGGCCGCUUUGAGGCCUGACCGAGCGUUAGCCGCCGUUCACGCCACUGUUACUUUUCCCAACAACAAGGCAUUCCUAUGGCGUUUAGCUACAAAGUCUACAAAGUUCAGCACCAUGUACAGGUUAUGCAUAUUAGAUUUUAGAAGCAUUUCAUCGACGAUGGUAAGAAAACGUCCGACACGUUAAGUACAACACUGACAUGACCGAGUCAGAAAACUAAAAUGGAUGGACUCCUGGAAGUGCGUGUGUGUGUGUGUGUGUUUACAUUCAAUUUAAGCAACGUUUUGUAUUUUUUUUUUCCCUUCACGCUUAAAGGAAGUUAGCAUUCUGAGUUAAAGCACAACGCUAGCUGCUUUUUUCUCCCCUCUUCCUUCCGUCGUUGAAUUUUUCCCUAAUAGCGUCAGCGUAUAUCAAAAAGUUCUUAGCACCUUUAAACUGGACCGACUGGAAGGAAGACUCGAUCUCCACACACGUGCACCUAAUGCAGGAAUAAAGCUCAUCUACUCGUCCGGAUAGUUAAUCUAUAUUACAACAUCCAUCUCACUCGCUAAUUUAAAUAUGCGCAUGAGCCGUCCGACACAAUCCGGCUAAUCCGUAAUGCCUAAAUACUACAGGUUGACCUUUAAUAACCUUAUAUGACCUUAUUAUAGUCUACGACUUCUUCGUAUAGACGGAUCUCUAGUAGGAUAUUUACGAUGAAACUAUUCACAUUUAAGGCGUUAAAUAAAAUUCAUGCUGUACUUGUGACCUAAGGAAGCGCGGAUAUAAUAUUUAUUUUUUAUAUAUUUUUGAUUGACACCAUUUUCCUUCUAUAGCUUUUUAAAUUUUUUUUUUUUUUUUUUUUACUUGGUUUCCGAGAUCCUGGGAUUUGUUAUUUUCAUUUUUUUUUUUACAAUGUAUUCUGAGAUGACAAAAUGACCAAAACGUCGUUUCACCGCGACGAUGCAUCGAUUACGGUCUAGACAAUGUUAAAUGUUUUCCUGAGAAAACGUCCUACACGUUCGUACUGAGACUUACCGCUACGACAAAUUUAACAUAAACGUACAUCUGGAUCGAUGCAGAGGUGCCGACGUUUAUGGCGUGGUCAUAGAAUUUGACCGUUUUUGACCCGUUGCUACGGCGAUCGACUAUUCUGCUUUUUCAGCUAAAGUUAAAGAGAAAUUCACCGAAGGGGAAAGGGCACGUGACGCGAAAAGACGCGUUUAACUGCUGUGCCGUCGACGUUAUCUCGGUGACCUCUGACCUGUGACGUCACGAGCCUCCGUCUCGUCAGCCAACAGAAAACGAAAAGGCGGGACUCGCGGUGUCGGGGUCCGCCCCUCUCCGUUUUGUUUCUGUGGCUUGCCGCACAUCUGGAGGAAAAAAAGAAAAGAAAAAAAAAAACGCACGUAAAAAUGGAAAAAUUAGCCUUUGUUAACAAUAAUUGGCACCUCGGAUCAAAUAAAACGUCAUAAAAACGUUAAUUUGCUUCGGAAAGUGGUAUUUUUAAACUUAGUGUUUAUCCCUGGGGGGGUACAAAUAUUUGAACAUUCAAAUUUCACAAAAUCAAAUAAAACUGUCCUUGUUAUGAUCUGGAAAUGGAGUAAACGCACGCACCCGAGAUAUUUAAGAUCUGUAAAAAAAACACAUCAAAGACGACAGAUGCUACACGCCGCUGUACGUUUUCCACUCGUCUUCCUUCGUAUCCACAUCCAAUCAUCCAAUCACACGCUCUCCUCUCUCCUUCUCCACGCAAUCACCCGACACGACCCCCGCUUCACCCGCAACGUGCAAAACCCUCCACCGUCACGUCCCAACCGCGUGUUCAAACGUCUCUCCGUUUUCCCUUUGAACGCCCCGUUCACGUCGUCGCUCUUUCACCAGUCGCGCUGGACGUGUGAAAACGUUCGCACGUGCAAAUAAUCAAGACAUCGUUCCUGAAGACAGGAAUUCCAUUCCGCCGUCCCGCUAUAUAUCGGAACGACGUACAGCCGAGUAAAGCUCAGAGGAAAGGAACGGUCUCGCCGAAAAAAAAAAAACCUAUUUAACCUAUAGUUCUUUUUUCCUGUAGGAAAUAAAAUGCGAGUCUUGCUCUGACGUUUGCUCCAGUUUUUUUUUUUUUUUUGCACUGGAGCGACGAGACUUAAUCCAACGUCACUAAUGAACCUCUAAAGUCACCCAAAAAUAUUUCCUCUCUUCCGUAAACAUCUUCGUCACGAAGCUGCGGGACCUCGGCGGGACGCUGGAGCGUCACGGACACGCUCUCCCGGAAGUUCGAAAGCGGGAAGUGACGACGCGGAACGAUGAGCUUCUUCGCCGUUGAAGGAACUCAGUCCAAGAAUGAUUUUCUGUUUAAAUUCGCCCAAUUUUCACUUUGCUUUCCUGCAGUACACACGACGCCAUUCCACUACCUGCUGACAGACAGCGUGGUGCAGCGGCGCUUUAGCGUUUUAGCCCGCCACGCUCUCUCUCGCCUCGUCAUCUGCUCAAACAUCGGCUUUCCACGCUUUCCACGCUCGGACCCGGGUCCGGCGUUUUCUUCGACCGUGAGCUGAUUGGAAAAAGAUGGGUGGGGGUGAGUGG